UUUACAAUGGAGAGUUUGAUCCUGGCUCAGGAUGAACGCUAGCGGCAGGCUUAAUACAUGCAAGUCGUGGGGCAGCAGGUCUGUAGCAAUACAGAUGCUGGCGACCGGCAAACGGGUGCGUAACACGUACGCAACUUACCCAUUACUGGGGAAUAGCCCAGGGAAACUUGGAUUAAUACCCCAUAUUAUAUAGAGUUGGCAUCAAUUUUAUAUCAAAGCUUCGGCGGUAAUGGAUGGGCGUGCGGUUGAUUAGAUAGUUGGCGGGGUAACGGCCCACCAAGUCUACGAUCAAUAGCUGAUGUGAGAGCAUGAUCAGCCACACGGGCACUGAGACACGGGCCCGACUCCUACGGGAG
rnacentral:rRNA from 1 species